UCCCUGGUGAUUCAGUUGGUUAAGAAUCUGCCUGCAAUGCAGGAGAUCUGGGUUCAAUCCCUGGUUUGGGAA
rnacentral:tRNA from 1 species